GACGUAGGGGGCCAGCGUUGUUCGGAAUUACUGGGUGUAAAGGGUUCGUAGGCGGUGCGGCAAGUUGGGAGUGAAAUCUCUGGGCUUAACCCAGAGGCUGCUUCCAAAACUGCUGUGCUUGAGUGUGGGAGAGGCGCGUGGAAUUGCAGGUGUAGCGGUGAAAUGCGUAGAUAUCUGCAGGAACACCGGUGGCGAAGGCGGGUCUCUGGGCAGUAACUGACGCUGAGGAGCGAAAGCGUGGGGAGCGAACAGG
rnacentral:rRNA from 1 species